UUCAGAGGGUUUGGGUUAAAUGUGGAAUGCAUUCAGUGGUACAACUUACUAGGUAUCCCCUUUCCCUAACUCACGAGGAACACAUCCAGCAGGCUCAUAGGCAAGCUGAGGAAAAGAAAACAGUUGCUUUCAGAAAACAAGCCAUCUCUCACACACAGCAGAUUGAGUCCACACAGAGCUGCAUCCAGAUAACGGAGGAGGAGGGAAGGAAGGAAGCUGAGGGAGAAUCUUAAUGACCAGAAGGGGGUUAUGGCAAUGCGAGAGGAGGAGCUGUAUGCUGAGGAUCAGCAGUUGGUAUACAUUUCUACUCCCUGUGUCUCCUAUUCUAUGUCAGAUUAAAUGUAUUCUAAAACCUAAACAAAUUGGAUAACACCGUAUCUGUUUUCUACCUUACACAGCACCAUAGAGGUAGAGAAAGAAGAGGCUUUACAGGUGCAGUGUGGGAUACUGGAGGAGCAAGGCCGGGAUGCUCUGGAGAGAGUGAGAGAGAAGAGGAAAGCCCUGGCUCUUCAAAACAAAGUGGUGGAACUACAGUAAGCAGAACCAAGAUCACUGGUCACCAACAAACCAUCAGAUUUAACUUAAUUACCAUGAAUUAAAGGAAACGGGUGAAGAAUAGAUACAGUAUGUCAUUCCUGUCUCCCUGCUCUGUCAGAGUGUGCAGGACCUGGAGAGUGAGUGCCGUGUGCAGCAGAGGGAGAAGGUGUCUGCUCUGACUGCAAUGAGUAGGUCCUUGAGAGAGGAGCACCAAGCUAAGCUACAGAGACUGCGCAGGCACAUGGAACAGAUGAUGACAGGCCUACAACCUCCUGAACUAGCAUCUAGAGAUCACUACAUACAUGACAACAUAUAAUGUACAGUGUAUGAAGUAAGAUGACGCUGACAGACAUGGCAGCUCUGCUUCUAGCUACUAAGCAACUUUGCAGUAUUUUUUUUUUGUGUGUGUUAUUUCUUACAUUAUUAGCCCAGAAUUGUUUUGGUGUUGUUACAUACCGACGGAAAUAACUUUUGGAUAUCAGAGCAGUGGUAACUCACCAGCAUUACGACCAGGAAUACAACUUUCCCAA